rnacentral:rRNA from 1 species
GACAGAGGUGCCGAGCGUUAGGCGGAAUCACUGGGCUUAAAGCGUGUGUAGGCGGAUCGUUAAGUACCUUGUGAAAUCCCCCCGGCUCAACCGGGGGAACUGCUGGGUAUACUGGCGAUCUUGAGGCGAUCUAGGGGCAGAUGGAACAAGUGGUGGAGCGGUGAAAUGCGUAGAUAUCACUUGGAACGCCAAAGGUGAAAAACGUCUG